GCAAACAGGUUAGRUACCCUGGUAGUCMCGCCCUAAASRWUUUGACUAGUSGUUGGAGCAGCAAUSCACUGAGUGACGCAGCUAACGCGUGAAGUYGACCGCCUGGGGRAGUACGGCCGCAAGGUUAAAACUCAAAGGAAUUGACGGGGACCCGCACAAGCGGUGGAUGAUGUGGAUUAAAUUUGAUGCAACGCGAAAAACCUUACCUACCCUUGGACAUGUCUUGGAACCUUGCUGAGAGGCGAGGGUGCCUUCGGGAGCCAGAACACAGGUGCUGCAUGGCYGUCGUCAGCUCGUGUCGUGAGAUGUUGGGUUAAGUCCCGCAACGAGCGCAACCCUUGUCACUAGUUGCCAUCAUUUGGUUGGGCACUCUAGUGAGACUGCCGGUGACAAACCGGAGGAAGGUGGGGAUGACGUCAAGUCCUCAUGGCCCUUAUGGGUAGGGCUUCACACGUCAUACAAUGGUCGGUACAGAGGGUUGCCAAGCCGCGAGGUGGAGCCAAUCCCUUAAAGCCGAUCGUAGUCCGGAUCGUAGUCUGCAACUCGACUACGUGAAGUCGGAAUCGCUAGUAAUCGCAGAUCAGCAUGCUGCGGUGAAUACGUUCCCGGGUCUUGUACACUCCUCAAGAUCACACCAUGGGAGUGGUUUUACCAGAAGUAGUAGCUAACUUAGGGAGGG
rnacentral:rRNA from 2 species